rnacentral:tRNA from 1 species
CGGAAUAUAGCUUAAUAAAAUCACCUCGCUUACACCGAAAAAAUAUUUGUGAAACUCAAAUUAUUCCGA